rnacentral:rRNA from 1 species
AUUGAACGCUGGCGGCAUGCCUUACACAUGCAAGUCGAACGGUAACGGGUCUUCGGAUGCUGACGAGUGGCGAACGGGUGAGUAAUACAUCGGAACGUGCCCGAUCGUGGGGGAUAACGAAGCUAAAGCUUUGCUAAUACCGCAUAAGAUCUACGGACGAAAGCAGGGGACCGCAAGGCCUCGCGCGAACGGAGCGGCAGAGGGCAGAUUAGGUAGUUGGUGGGAUAGAAGCUUACCAAGCCGACGGUUUGUAGCUGGUCUGAGAGGACGACCAGCCACACUGGGACUGAGACACGGCCCAGGCUCCUACGGGAGGCAGGAGUGGGGAAUUGUGGACAAUGGGCGAAAGCCUUAUCCAUCCAUGCCGCGUGCAGGAUGAAGGCCUUCGGGUUGUAAACUUCUUUUGUACGGAACGAAAAGACGCUUUCUAAUAAAGAGGGUCCAUGACGGUACCGUAAGAAUAAGCACCGGCUAACUACGUGCCAGCAGCCGCCGUAACAC